rnacentral:lncRNA from 1 species
UAUGUGGAAGGAGGCAUACCAGAAAUUUUUUGGAGAAAUUUCAGCUAGCAUUCAGUGCUUUCUCAGUCAGAAUUCCAGAGAAGGCUUGUUGAAGGCAGAAAAACUGCGCAAGAUUGGGACAUCUUCUGGAAGUUUUGAAAGAAAAAAAUGGUACCUGAUGGCCAGGAAGUGUGACUAUCAACAUAAUUCCCAAGCAGUGAAAUGGGUUUCUGAUUUGGUAGAAGUUCUAGAAUAUUGAUCGUGACUGAAACAUCACACACAAGCAAAUCUAAGUGAAAUGUAACCAUGGCCACUGGCUCGUGAGCAGUGAGUAAAUAAUGCCCACUGUCCAGCAUAAAAUAGGGCUUAAUGGAGUGAGAGCAAAGUGGCAAGUAAUUAAAAGCCACUUCUAACAAUCAAGUGUGAAUGCCCCACGGGAAGGAUAUGUUCUGGACAGCUGGCCACAAAAGACUGGGGACCUCUUUCACUAAAUGACAAGCCAAUAUACUUACUCUGUAAUAAAAGUCUUCCUUCCUAGCCAUUUGCAUGGACAUACAAUCUGAAGAUUUCAUGUGGUGAUCUCUGAUUCAAAGAUUUCCUUAGUUAAGCAAAUUACUAAAGCAAAAACUUCCAUGACCUGGAAGGAAAAAGGAAACAGAGCAACCAAGGAUUCUGCCUAUAUAUGGCAAGAUUGAGCCUAUUGCCCCAUGAAUGUGGAACUCACCGAGUGUGGACACUCAGUGUUGUGCUUCACACCUUCACAAGCAUGAAGAAUAAGGCUAGUUUGUUUCCCAGGUUGACUAAUGUAGAUUGCAGCCAUCCCAAAUAUAGAAGGGAUUAACUAAUCGGACUCACUUCCUGCUAUUACCAAGCAUUGAAACUUGCAGUUGACCUUGAUGUAGGUUUUAAGGGGUGGAACACCUAGCCUUUGUCUUCCACGUAUCACCUUCUUCUAGCCCCAGCUCUCAUCACCAACAUGAAGAUGUGGUUCACCGAGUGUUGAACACCUCCUUUUGUGGUAAGUACAAUGACAAGUAUACCCAUCACAUUGAAUGCAAAGUGGCCCAUUGUGAAAAUAGGUCACACAUGCUGUUUCUAUGUCGUAAAUACCAAGGCUACCUAGACAUGGUUUUUAGAAAAUAGUGUCUAAUGUGUUUUUGCUUGUGUAAGUCUUUCAUGAAGCCUUGAUCAUUUUCUGCCCUCAC